rnacentral:rRNA from 1 species
CCUACGGGAGGCAGCAGUAAGGAAUAUUGGUCAAUGGACGCAAGUCUGAACCAGCCAUGCCGCGUGAAGGAUGAAGGCCCUCUGGGUUGUAAACUUCUUUUAUAGGGGAAGAAACCCAUCUUUUCUAAGGUGGUUGACGGUACCCUAGGAAUAAGCACCGGCUAACUCCGUGCCAGCAGCCGCGGUAAUACGGAGGGUGCAAGCGUUAUCCGGAUUCACUGGGUUUAAAGGGUGCGUAGGUGGGUCUGUAAGUCAGUGGUGAAAUCUCCGAGCUUAACUCGGAAACUGCCAUUGAUACUAUAGAUCUUGAAUUUUCUGGAGGUUAGCGGAAUAUGUCAUGUAGCGGUGAAAUGCUUAGAUAUGACAUAGAACACCAAUUGCGAAGGCAGCUGGCUACAGGAAUAUUGACACUGAGGCACGAAAGCGUGGGGAUCAAACAGGAUUAGAUACCCUGGUAGUCCACGCCCUAAACGAUGGAUACUCGACAUUUGUGAUACACAAUAAGUGUCUGAGNGAAGACAUAAGUAUCCACCUCGGAGACGACGCGAGUAGAACGUACAANAGAGUUAGACGGCGUGAGACGUAGACCGACGGACGACGACGAGGGAGGAGG